GCAAGUCGAACGCGAACGAGUUCUUCGGAACUUUAGUAGAGUGGCGCACGGGUUAGUAACUCGUAAAUAAUCUACCCUCGCAUUUGUGAUAACCCACCGCAAAGUGUGCUAAUACCGGAUACGUCUAUUUUAAUAUCUUUUUGAUAGAGAAAGGUGGCCUCUGAUUUAAGCCACUGUGCGGGGAGGAGCUUGCGUACCAUUAGCUAGUUGGUAGGGUAACGGCCUACCAAGGCAACGAUGGUUAGCGGGUCUGAGAGGAUGAUC
rnacentral:rRNA from 1 species